rnacentral:rRNA from 1 species
GACGAACGCUGGCGGCGCGCUUAACACAUGCAAGUCGAACGGUAAGGCCCUUCGGGGUACACGAGUGGCGAACGGGUGAGUAACACGUGGGUGAUCUGCCCUGCACUUCGGGAUAAGCCUGGGAAACUGGGUCUAAUACCGGAUAGGACUCCGGACUGCAUGGUCUGGGGUGGAAAGCUUUUGCGGUGUGGGAUGGGCCCGCGGCCUAUCAGCUUGUUGGUGGGGUGAUGGCCUACCAAGGCGACGACGGGUAGCCGGCCUGAGAGGGUGACCGGCCACACGGGGACUGAGAUACGGCCCAGACUCCUACGGGAGGCAGCAGUGGGGAAUAUUGCACAAUGGGCGCAAGCCUGAUGCAGCGACGCCGCGUGAGGGAUGACGGCCUUCGGGUUGUAAACCUCUUUCAGCAUCGACGAAGCGAAAGUGACGGUAGGUGCAGAAGAAGGACCGGCCAACUACGUGCCAGCAGCCGCCGUAA